rnacentral:rRNA from 1 species
CCAGGAUUCCCCUAGUAACGGCGAGUGAAGAGGGAAUAGCCCAGCACCGAAGCCUGCGGCAGAUUUGCUGUUAGGCAAUGUGGUGUUUGGGUCGGUUCGUGGGAUUGCCACUCCAUUCGAAGUCCAGCAUUGAGUAUGGUCUCCUGGAUUUGGCCCAUAGAGGGUGAAAGGCCCGUACGAAUGGAGGUGUCAGACAAGUAAGGCAAUUCACCAGACCGGCCUUCGAGUCGGGUUGUUUGGGAAUGCAGCCCAAAGUGGGUGGUAAACUCCAUCCAAGGCUAAAUACAAGCACGAAUCCGAUAGCAAACAAGUACCGUGAGGGAAAGUUGAAAAGUACUUUGAAAAGAGAGUAAACAGCACGUGAAACCGCAUAGAGGUAAACGGGUGGCGUCAAGUUGCAAGCCCAGAGGAUUCAGUCGGAUAGGAUGUUGUGUAUGCGCCUGGCGCAUCUAUCAGUCGGAAUAGGAUGUAGUAGUCCNCUGGAAGACGGUGGGCCCGGUCUCUGAUCGGGAUGUGCGCACCGGAUGGAAGCCGGAGGCAUGCUACUCAUCUGUUGGACUGUCUAUCCGGUGCACUUCCUCUGUUGGUGAACACCACGACCGGUGGAAUUGCCAGUCUGCUAUACCCAAGUCGUAUUUGAUCGAUUCUUGUAGUCGGUUGGAUGCGAUCACAGGCAAACUCGAUGAACGGCGUAAAGGUGUUUCGGCAUUUUUGCGUGUUAUCGUGCAUCGGUUGUCAACGGGCCGAUUUAUGGUUGUUGCAUCUGCCAUUGAUUGGUCUGGUGGGGUAUGGUGGUACUAAUAACUGUGCAAGGCACCGGAGUUUUCGGUCUCAAAUGCAGCCUGCAUCCAUGAUGCAAAUGGUCAUUGGUAGAGGGGCAACGUUGCAGCCUGCCUAUUUCUUCCUUGAGUCUGAUUGUCGUGUCGCCUGCACAAAGUAGGCCCGGCAGUGGCUUGAGGUGGGAUGGAGUUGUUGACGUUGUCUCGUGUGUAGGCUGUAGUGGACCAGAUAGUCAGUGGUGCAGUGAUAGACGAGCUACCCGACCCGUCUUGAAACACGGACCAAGGAGUUUAACAUGUAUGCGAGUCAAUGGGUCCUACGAAACCCAAAGGCGUAGUGAAAGUGAAGCUUCGACUUGUUCUCGAAGUGUGGUGAGAUUCUGCCGUUUCUCGCAUUCUAUCCUGUAGUUGUGUCAGCACCAGGUAAAGAGCGGCAGACGCAUCACCGGCCCGUCCCAUGAUGUGGUCAUUGGAUUUUCUGCUGUAGUAGCCUAGCUGUUGCAGUGGUGCCAGUGCGUCAU